AGUGAACGCUGGCGGUAGGCCUAACACAUGCAAGUCGAACGGCAGCACAGUAAGAGCUUGCUCUUACGGGUGGCGAGUGGCGGACGGGUGAGGAAUACAUCGGAAUCUACUUUUUCGUGGGGGAUAACGUAGGGAAACUUACGCUAAUACCGCAUACGACCUACGGGUGAAAGCAGGGGAUCUUCUGACCUUGCGCGAUUGAAUGAGCCGAUGUCGGAUUAGCUAGUUGGCGGGGUAAAGGCCCACCAAGGCGACGAUCCGUAGCUGGUCUGAGAGGAUGAUCGGCCACACUGGAACUGAGACACGGUCCAGACUCCUACGGGAGGCAGCAGUGGGGAAUAUUGGACAAUGGGCGCGAGCCUGAUCCAGCCAUACCGCGUGGGUGAAGAAGGCCUUCGGGUUGUAAAGCCCUUUUGUUGGGAAAGAAAAGCAGCAGGUUAAUACCCCGCUGUUCUGACGGUACCCAAAGAAUAAGCACCGGCUAACUUCGUG
rnacentral:rRNA from 1 species